UACGGAGGGGCUAGCGUUGUUCGGAAUUACUGGGCGUAAAGCGCACGUAGGCGGCUUUGCAAGUUAGAGGUGAAAGCCCGGGGCUCAACUCCGGAAUUGCCUUUAAAACUGCAUCGCUAGAAUUGUGGAGAGGUAAGUGGAAUUCCGAGUGUAGAGGUGAAAUUCGUAGAUAUUCGGAAGAACACCAGUGGCGAAGGCGACUUACUGGACACAUAUUGACGCUGAGGUGCGAAAGCGUGGGGAGCAAACAGG
rnacentral:rRNA from 1 species